GAUGAAGAACGCAGCGAAAUGCGAUACUUGGUGUGAAUUGCAGAAUCCCGUGAACCAUCGAGUCUUUGAACGCAAGUUGCGCCCGAAGCCAUUAGGCCGAGGGCACGCCUGCCUGGGCGUCACACGUCGUUGCCCCCCCAUCUACUCCUUCGGGAUUGCGGGGGGCGGAUGAUGGCCUCCCGUGCGCCUCGCCGCGCGGUUGGCAUAAAUGCCAAGUCCUCGGCGACGCACGCCACGACAAUCGGUGGUUGCGAAACCUCGGUUGCCCGUCGUGUGCGGUCGUCGCGCAUCGAGGGCUCGAAAAAAUUGCCGGGUUCCGGCUCGGCUUUCAACGCGACCCCAGGUCAGGCUGGGUUACCCGCUGAAUUUAAGCAUAUCAAUAAGCGGAGGA
rnacentral:misc_RNA from 1 species